CCAGCUAGUCCCCUUGUUCUUCUCACCGUCACCCUUACCUGGUUUACUUGAGUUGUUCACCUGUAGGAAGAAUGCUUACCUUGCUCACCUGCCUGCGUGCUCUCCACCACUCCUUCAUCUCUCUGGGCUCGGUUGGCUGCCUGCACACUCACCUGCCAAAUAAAACCAAUCAAGAACUUAAAUCCUGGAUCUUAAUUAAUCCCUGUUCUCCUCUCUGACAGAAGUCUCUGACCAGCUCCAGCAGAGUCAGCACUUGUCUCUGCCUGUCACAUCCUUGGUGUUCUGAUAGUUUUUUCUUUCUGAAAACUGUUAAAAGCUUCUGAGUUCGAUUUUUGACUCGUUGUCUCUGUUUUCAAUGACACUGUUGGCUUGUGGUCUUAAUGAAGUGCAUUGGGCUGGAUGAUUUGGGACAAUAGAAAUGAAAUGAAAUUGAGUGACACAAAAAGCAGUUUAUGUAUAAAAUAUCUGAUGUUACACAUGAACACUGGACCCGGCUGUUUGUGUGGGUGUGUGUUUGAGCGUAGUGAGGCAAAUAUUAACCCUGUCCAAAGUACAUUACUGUUCCAGAAUUACGAUGAGCAAAGAGUUCAUGUAUCUCAGUGCGAUGCUAUCUGAACUUCAAACUGCAUUCAGGAGCACAUGUCGCUCUAAACACACAUUUAAAUGUGUAAUGAUAACAUUUCCACGUUUUGCUUCAGACAUGUGGAAGCUGUUCAGUGGUGGGAACUGCAGCCAUGCGUUAAUGUGUUAACUGUAGCAAGUUUAUAAAGAAAGAAGAUGUUAAGUGUGAUUGUUUUAAAAGGGACUAUUAUGCUCCUCUUUAUUUUCUUUCAUAUGUACUAUUACAACAAUCACACAAGCUGGGAAAGAAGCACAGGCAAAGAAAACCAGAGUAAGUGUCAGAGAUGGAGAAAGUAGGGCCGGGACUUCCUGUGUGGAGGUCAGUGCGUUUAUUUACAGUGAAUCAAAUAACAAAGGUCCAAAUAAUCCUCUCCACGGGGUUUCUUCCUGUGCUCGUUCCUCGCUCCCGUGCCGUGGCUUCUCCUGGUGUCUGUGGUGAGUAAUCUUAUCCUGAUGUACAACAGUGCUCCACUCCUACUCGUUUCUGCAACCCUGUGGAAACAACAACAGGCAGCUGUUAGUACAUGCCGAGAGCUGAGAACCAAGAUACUGUUGCAAACUAGCUGGGAACUGACUGGGAUUCUCACAACAAUCCACUGCAGCUCAGCUACUCUGUUAAACAGUCCCUCAGACGAGGCUGAUCAGCGAUAGAUGCGUGUAAUUAUCCCUCAUCAGGUGUGGCUGGCCUCACGGUGGGAAACACACUCCAGGCCUGGUGUCCCAGGGAAACCAGGACACCGCCAACAACAACAACAGCACAUACAUGUUAAACAGACACACAGGCAGGGCGACCAGUGAGGACUGCCAGCCCAAGAAAUAUAAACAAGUCCACUUAUUCAUGAACCCUGGGUCCCCAGAGCCGGGCCUAUGACAGUAAGUUUAUAAGCUUUUAGAAUGAAGCAGGAAAAACCAGCAAAAAAUGACCCAAACAUCAUAAAAGUGAUGUAACAAAGCUGAAGUUUAACAUUAAAUCUGUCAGAAAUGUAUUUGUAGUUUUAAAAAUGGAGCUGACCUGCAACUGAUAAUAACACAAACGCAAACAGCUGUUCUCGCUAACUGUCUUUUUAUGUGUUAAAGUUAAGUGGUGUCGUUGGCACCUUAAUGCAAUCACAUAACCAUCACCUAGUAAGUAAGCUGCUGGCUCAGUGCAGACUGUGCAUGUGUAAGCACUGUUUAGGAAGCAUCCGCCCUUCUGGUUGUGUCACACUCCUUCCUGCCUCUCCGGUUAGGCUGAGCUGACAACGGCACUGUGAGCCACGAGAGAAGGAAGUUCAGAUUCUGUAAAGUCAGCACUUCUGUCCACAACGUUCAUGAGUCAGUGUUCAGUUCAGGCUGAUGAACAUAAAGAUUCGGUCGCAAACUGUUAUUUCAUCUCGUGUUUGAAGUUUGAAGAUUUGAAUAAAAAAAAAAACCCUGCAAAGUUUUCAUAUGCAUGUGUUUAUAUUUGCAUGUCUGCAAAGUCUUUUGAAUUUUCCUCUUGCACUCAGAUACUGAGAUAAACAAGGUAACUAAAUAUCCACCCAGCCAUCCUCACCCGGUGGCAGCAGGCCCCUGGUGACCCUGAAGAAUGAAAUAAAAUGCCUGUACACAACAUUUUAAGUCUGGAUGUUUUUGCGCUUCAUGCACCUCCAUAUCUCACCGGUUUUGCUGCUGUGGUUUGUCCAGGUGCUUUGAAAUUCAAGCUGUGGCCUGAGCACCUCGUGGGAUCAGCCAGCCAAAGCCUCAGAAGAUGUGGACAGCAGGUGGGUGGGGCUGCUGUGGGCUAUCUCCAUGACAACAAGCAGAUCUCAGAAUAGGUUGAACUAUUUGCAUCUGACAUGAACUCCUCCUUCAUCCUGGAUGAAACUCUACCUUCUUCUGUGAACAAAGAGGAACACAGCCUGGGGGAUGAUUGUGCACUGGUGAAUUAUUCCUGAGGUAUGUGAAUUUCAUAGAAACAGUAAAAAAAAAACAAAAAAACACCUCAAAGCAGAGACCAACAGGUUUACUUUAAAAGCCCUCACUGCCCACAUCUUUACAUAGAUGCCCGUGGAAAGCCCAUCCUUAUGCACUGCAGUACUUUCCUGUUGAAAGUCAUGGGCAUUGGCUCACUGGUCCCUCUGUUUUGGAACAUUUGCAAACAGAACACAAAGUGUAUUCAUGCAGGGAGUAUCCUCACUGUAGUCACUGAGCGACGUGGCAGACCUUGGUCUAAACAGUUCUGUUUUACUGCUUUAGCCAAAAUUCAUUUUAAGAUUAGUGAAAUAACAGGCCCAAUGUUUAGCUCAACCUACUGUUUGAGUUAUAAGGAAAUGUGAACUUUUUAAGUUUAACAGAGCUUACAGUGUUCACAAACCCCGUCCUGUGGAUUUUCCACAGUUUGCUGGUAUUUUCAGAUGAUCUUCAGUAUUACACUGGCAGGAAUAAAGACUCAAAAUGGGGUGAAACUGGGGCGAGGCUGCUUUCUGUUUUUCUGAAACAUCAGCUCACAGUUACUGUGCAUUGCUCAGAUUUCACCACCAGUCAUUAGGCAAUGCUAAGCAUUUGAUAAGACAACGUACAGUUCUUUGCGGUCAGUUUGGGACUUUGACUCAGACUAGUGCAACAUUUCUCAGGAAAAUUCAAAACUGCUUUGUUAUGCAAUAUGUGUCCAUGCACACUUUUCUUAUUUGUUUUGAAAAAAUCACAGCAGCUUACUAAAGAGACCUUUAAAUCCCAGCUGUCUGUGCUCAUUAUGACAAAGUUUCAUCAACCUCACAUAAAUCAGGGCCAAUUAUUCUGUCCAGCAGAUCAAUGAAACCACCAUAUUCCUUUAAGACAGAAAACGGCUGAGGAUCAGAGAUUAUA